GGCGAACGGGUGAGUAAUGCAUCGGAACGUGCCUAUCAGUGGGGGAUAACGCUUCGAAAGGAGUGCUAAUACCGCAUAUUCUCUGAGGAGGAAAGCAGGGGACCUUAGGGCCUUGCGCUGAUAGAGCGGCCGAUGUCGGAUUAGCUAGUUGGUGAGGUAAAGGCUCACCAAGGCGACGAUCCGUAGCGGGUCUGAGAGGAUGAUCCGCCACACUGGGACUGAGACACGGCCCAGACUCCUACGGGAGGCAGCAGUGGGGAAUUUUGGACAAUGGGCGAAAGCCUGAUCCAGCCAUGCCGCGUGAGUGAAGAAGGCCUUCGGGUUGUAAAGCUCUUUUGUCCGGGAGGAAAUCCUGGCCUCUAAUACAGGUCGGGGAUGACAGUACUGGAAGAAUAAGCACCGGCUAACUACGUGCCAGCAGCCGCGGUAAUACGUAGGGUGCAAGCGUUAAUCGGAAUUACUGGGCGUAAAGCGUGCGCAGGCGGUUUUGUAAGCCAGAUGUGAAA
rnacentral:rRNA from 1 species